rnacentral:lncRNA from 1 species
CUUGAUUUGGAUACAUAAAGUGGUGGAGAAUCACCAGGAAGUUGAAUAAAUCUCAUAGGAUGUGGCAUGAAGAAUUUAUCCCACUUUCAAAUCAGGUGAUUCCAGUUUCCCAGUUUGGGAAUAGCACAGCUUCGUCGUCGUUCCAAACAAACCAGGAUGAAUCUCUUUGUAAGAAGCUUGAUUUGGAUACAUAAAGUGGUGGAGAAUCACCAGGAAGUUGAAUAAAUCUCAUAGGAGUUGGCAUGAAGAAGUUAUCCCACUUUCAAAUCAGGUGAUUCCAGUUUCCCAGUUUGGGAAUAGCACAGCUUCUUCGUCGUUCCAAUCAAACGAGGAUGAAUCAUUUUGUAGGAAACUUGAUUUGGAUACAUAAAGUGGUGGAGAAUCAACAGGAAGGUUAAUAAAUCUCAUAGGAGUUAGCAUGAAGAAGUUAUCCCACUUUCAAAUCAGGUGAUUCCAGUUUCCCAGUUUGGGAAUAGCAAAGCUUCUUCGUCGUUCCAAUCAAACGAGGAUGAAUCAUUUUGUAGGAAACUUGAUUUGGAUACAUAAAGUGGUGGAGAAUCAACAGGAAGGUUAAUAAAUCUCAUAGGAGUUAGCAUGAAGAAGUUAUCCCACUUUCAAAUCAGGUGAUUCCAGUUUCCCAGUUUGGGAAUAGCAAAGCUUCUUCGUCGUUCUAAUCAAACCAGGAUGAAUCACUUUCUAAGAAGCUUGAUUUGGAUAGGAAAAUUCCGAGGGAUUUCCGAGGAAAGAAGAAAUUCCGAGGAAUUAUUUCCGACGACGUGUUUCGUCGGUAUGUCGUCGGAAAAACGAUAUUCCGACGAAAUUCUGACAAUUUUUUCCCUCAGAAUCCUUGAUGUUUUCUUGUAGUGCUUUAAGAACAUGGGGGGAGGCAGCUUUGUUUUCUCAACUUUCAAUCAACGAAUUAUUCAGUCAACUUUGUUGUCUUGUCUCUAGCUUUCUCUGUUCAGCUCAAGAACAUUGAUCUCACUUAAAGGAAGGAAUUCCUGUGAAUCCCAUCUUAGACAAUACAAGGUGAUCUUGUGUCUUUGAGUAGCAAACCAUCUCUGUCGCCAUUCCAUAGCUUCAGAGAGACGUCCAUAGUCCAGCAGAGUGCUAGUAGCCUCCAAGGACAUCCCUAUUUCGUUCCCCUUCAAGUGAUCCAGGAGCAGAAGCCAUACCCAGGCUGCACCACAUGGAGUUGGGAUGAAGAAGUUAUCCCACUUUCAAAUCAGGUGAUUCCAAUUUCCCAAUUUGGGAUUAGGACAGCUUGUUCGUCGUUCCAAUCAAACCAGAAAGAAUCACUUUGUUAGAAGCUUGAUUUGGAUACAUAAACUGGUGGAGAAUCACCAGGAAGUUGAAUAAAUCUCAUAGGAGUUGGCAUGAAGAAGUUAUCCCACUUUUAAAUCAGGUGAUUCCAGUUUCCCAGUUUGGGAAUAGCACAGCUUCUUCGUCGUUCCAAUCAAACCAGGAUGAAUCACUUUGUGAAAAGCUUGAUUUUGAUACAUAAAGUGGUGGAGAAUCACCAGGAAGUUGAAUAAAUCUCAUAGGAGUUGGCAUGAAGAAGUUAUCCCACUUUN